rnacentral:rRNA from 1 species
CGGAGCUUGCUCCACCGGAAAAAGAAGAGUGGCGAACGGGUGAGUAACACGUGGGUAACCUGCCCAUCAGAAGGGGAUAACACUUGGAAACAGGUGCUAAUACCGUAUAACAAUCGAAACCGCAUGGUUUUGAUUUGAAAGGCGCUUUCGGGUGUCGCUGAUGGAUGGACCCGCGGUGCAUUAGCUAGUUGGUGAGGUAACGGCUCACCAAGGCCACGAUGCAUAGCCGACCUGAGAGGGUGAUCGGCCACAUUGGGACUGAGACACGGCCCAAACUCCUACGGGAGGCAGCAGUAGGGAAUCUUCGGCAAUGGACGAAAGUCUGACCGAGCAACGCCGCGUGAGUGAAGAAGGUUUUCGGAUCGUAAAACUCUGUUGUUAGAGAAGAACAAGGAUGAGAGUAACUGUUCAUCCCUUGACGGUAUCUAACCAGAAAGCCACGGCUAACUACGUGCCAGCAGCCGCGGUAAUACGUAGGUGGCAAGCGUUGUCCGGAUUUAUUGGGCGUAAAGCGAGCGCAGGCGGUUUCUUAAGUCUGAUGUGAAAGCCCCCGGCUCAACCGGGGAGGGUCAUUGGAAACUGGGAGACUUGAGUGCAGAAGAGGAGAGUGGAAUUCCAUGUGUAGCGGUGAAAUGCGUAGAUAUAUGGAGGAACACCAGUGGCGAAGGCGGCUCUCUGGUCUGUAACUGACGCUGAGGCUCGAAAGCGUGGGGAGCAAACAGGAUUAGAUACCCUGGUAGUCCACGCCGUAAACGAUGAGUGCUAAGUGUUGGAGGGUUUCCGCCCUUCAGUGCUGCAGCUAACGCAUUAAGCACUCCGCCUGGGGAGUACGACCGCAAGGUUGAAACUCAAAGGAAUUGACGGGGGCCCGCACAAGCGGUGGAGCAUGUGGUUUAAUUCGAAGCAACGCGAAGAACCUUACCAGGUCUUGACAUCCUUUGACCACUCUAGAGAUAGAGCUUCCCCUUCGGGGGCAAAGUGACAGGUGGUGCAUGGUUGUCGUCAGCUCGUGUCGUGAGAUGUUGGGUUAAGUCCCGCAACGAGCGCAACCCUUAUUGUUAGUUGCCAUCAUUUAGUUGGGCACUCUAGCAAGACUGCCGGUGACAAACCGGAGGAAGGUGGGGAUGACGUCAAAUCAUCAUGCCCCUUAUGACCUGGGCUACACACGUGCUACAAUGGGAAGUACAACGAGUCGCGAAGUCGCGAGGCUAAGCUAAUCUCUUAAAGCUUCUCUCAGUUCGGAUUGUAGGCUGCAACUCGCCUACAUGAAGCCGGAAUCGCUAGUAAUCGCGGAUCAGCACGCCGCGGUGAAUACGUUCCCGGGCCUUGUACACACCGCCCGUCACACCACGAGAGUUUUAACACCCGAAGUCGGUGAGGUAACCUUUGGAGCCAGC